ACCCAGAUAGCUCAGUCGGUAGAGCAGGGGAUUGAAAAUCCCCGUGUCGGCGGUUCGAUUCCGUCUCUGGGCACCA
rnacentral:tRNA from 1 species